UUAAGUGACUAAGCGUAUACGGUGGAUGCCUUGGCAGUUAGAGGCGAUGAAGGACGUGUAAGUCUGCGAAAAGCUGUGGUGAGCCGACAAAAUGCAUUUGAGCCACAGAUGUCCGAAUGGGGAAACCCACCUAUUUAUAGGUAUCGUUACAUGAAUAUAUAGUGUAACGAGGCGAACGAGGGGAACUGAAACAUCUAAGUACCCUUAGGAAAAGAAAUCAACCGAGAUUCCCCUAGUAGCGGCGAGCGAACGGGGAUUAGCCCUUAAGCAAUUAUGAACGUAGUGGAAGCCUCUGGGAAGUGGCGCGAUACAAGGUGAUAGCCCUGUACACGAAGUGUUUGUUUUUGUGAAAUCGAGUAGGUCGGGACACGUGUUAUCUUGACUGAAUAUGGGGGGACCAUCCUCCAAGGCUAAAUACUCCUAACUGACCGAUAGUGAACCAGUACCGUGAGGGAAAGGCGAAAAGAACCCCUGUGAGGGGAGUGAAAUAGAACCUGAAACCGUAUACGUACAAGCAGUGGGAGCAGACUUGUUCUGUGACUGCGUACCUUUUGUAUAAUGGGUCAGCGACUUAUAUUUAGUAGCAAGGUUAAGCGAAUAGCGGAGCCGUAGCGAAAGCGAGUGUUAACUGCGCGUUUAGUUGCUAGGUAUAGACCCGAAACCCGGUGAUCUAGCCAUGGGCAGGUUGAAGGUUGAGUAACAUCAACUGGAGGACCGAACCCACUAACGUUGAAAAGUUAGGGGAUGACUUGUGGCUGGGGGUGAAAGGCCAAUCAAACCGGGAGAUAGCUGGUUCUCCCCGAAAUCUAUUUAGGUAGAGCCUCGGACGAAUUCCAUUGGGGGUAGAGCACUGUUAAGGCUAGGGGGUCAUCCCGACUUACCAACCCUUUGCAAACUCCGAAUACCAAUGAGAACUAUCCGGGAGACACACGGCGGGUGCUAACGUCCGUCGUGAAGAGGGAAACAACCCAGACCGCCAGCUAAGGUCCCAAAAUAUUGCUAAGUGGGAAACGAUGUGGGAAGGCAUAGACAGCUAGGAGGUUGGCUUAGAAGCAGCCACCCUUUAAAGAAAGCGUAAUAGCUCACUAGUCGAGUCGGCCUGCGCGGAAGAUGUAACGGGGCUAAGCAAUAUACCGAAGCUGCGGAUACGUGUUUACACGUAUGGUAGGGGAGCGUUGUGUAAGUGGAUGAAGGUGGAUUGAGAAGUCUGCUGGACAUAUCACAAGUGCGAAUGCUGACAUGAGUAACGAUAAUGGGAGUGAAAAACUCCCACGCCGGAAGACCAAGGUUUCCUGUCCCAUGCUAAUCAGGGCAGGGUAAGUCGGCCCCUAAGGCGAGGCAGAAAUGCGUAGUCGAUGGGAAACGGAUUAAUAUUUCCGUACUUAUAUAAUCAGUGAUGGAGGGACGGAGAAGGCUAAGCAAGCUUGGCGUUGGUUGUCCAAGUGAAAGCAAGUAGGCCGAGUGUUUAGGUAAAUCCGGACGCUUAAAGCUGAGAUGCGAGACGAGCUACUACGGUAGUGAAGUUGUUGAUGCCCUGCUUCCAGGAAAAGCUUCUAAACUUAUGAUUAUAUGAACCGUACCCCAAACCGACACAGGUGGUCAGGUAGAGAAUACUAAGGCGCUUGAGAGAACUCGGGUGAAGGAACUCGGCAAAAUUGUACCGUAACUUCGGGAGAAGGUACGCCCUUGUUUGUGAUAGGACUUGCUCCUUGAGCAGAUGAGGGCCGCAGUGACCAGGUGGCUGGGACUGUUUAUUAAAAACACAGCACUCUGCUAACUCGCAAGAGGACGUAUAGGGUGUGACACCUGCCCGGUGCCGGAAGGUUAAUUGAUGGGGUUAUCUUCGGAGAAGCUCUUGAUCGAAGCCCCGGUAAACGGCGGCCGUAACUAUAACGGUCCUAAGGUAGCGAAAUUCCUUGUCGGGUAAGUUCCGACCUGCACGAAUGGUGUAACCAUGGCCACGCUGUCUCCACCCGAGACUCAGUGAAAUUGAAAUCGCAGUGAAGAUGCUGUGUACCCGCACCUAGACGGAAAGACCCCGUGAACCUUUACUACAGCUUGGCACUGAACAUUGAACCUACAUGUGUAGGAUAGGUGGGAGGCUUCGAAGCACAGUCGCUAGAUUGUGUGGAGCCGUCCUUGAAAUACCACCCUUGUAUGUUUGAUGUUCUAACAUUGGUCCCUUAUCGGGAUUAUGGACAGUGUCUGGUGGGUAGUUUGACUGGGGCGGUCUCCUCCCAAAUAGUAACGGAGGAGCACGAAGGUUAGCUAAUCACGGUCGGACAUCGUGAGGUUAGUGCAAUGGCAUAAGCUAGCUUAACUGCGAGACAGACACGUCGAGCAGGUACGAAAGUAGGUCAUAGUGAUCCGGUGGUUCUGUAUGGAAGGGCCAUCGCUCAACGGAUAAAAGGUACUCCGGGGAUAACAGGCUGAUACCGCCCAAGAGUUCAUAUCGACGGCGGUGUUUGGCACCUCGAUGUCGGCUCAUCACAUCCUGGGGCUGAAGUCGGUCCCAAGGGUAUGGCUGUUCGCCAUUUAAAGUGGUACGCGAGCUGGGUUUAGAACGUCGUGAGACAGUUCGGUCCCUAUCUGGUGUGGGCGUUGGAUGAUUGAUGGGAGCUGCUCCUAGUACGAGAGGACCGGAGUGGACGAACCGCUGGUGUUCGGGUUGUCAUGCCAAUGGCAUUGCCCGGUAGCUACGUUCGGAACGGAUAACCGCUGAAAGCAUCUAAGCGGGAAGCCGGCCCAAAGAUGAGUCAUCCCUGACUUUUAAAGUCCGGAAGGGUUGUUAUAGACGAUGACGUUGAUAGGCAGGAUGUGGAAGCGUUGUAAGGCGUUAAGCUAACCUGUACUAAUUGCCCGAGAGGCUUAACCAU
rnacentral:rRNA from 1 species